rnacentral:rRNA from 1 species
GACAGAGGAGCCAAGCGUUGUCCGGAUUGACUGGGCGUAAAGGGCACGCAGGUGGUCGCGCAAGUGUGAUGUGAAAGCGGCUCGCUUAACGGGCCGAGGCCAGCGCAGACUGCGCGACUGGAGGUCGGGAGAGGUCGGUGGAAUUGCCGGUGUAGUGGUGAAAUGCGUAGAGAUCGGCAGGAACACCCAAGGGGAAGCCAGCCGACUGGCCCGCACCUGACACGUCAGGGACGACAGCGUGGGGAGCGAACCGG